CCUAAUCCCCUCAUCUCCCUCUCUACAGCCGCCACCCCCUUCUCUCCCGUGCACAGCCGCCGCCUCCUCUUUCUUCCUCCCGAGCGCCGCCUCCAGCCGGCUCCCCCUACAGCCGCCGCUUCCACCGCCCCUGCCUCUCCCCUGCACGCCGCACUCCUCGUCGCCUGCGCGCCGCAUGGCCGGUGCUCGGCCGCCGCCCUCGCCAAGCCCGACGCGCCGCCGGCCCCUGCGCAGCAGCCGGUCGCCGCCCAUGCGCGCGCUCUGCGUGGCCGCCGGAUCGAGGAGGCCUGGCUGCUCGCAAGCUCUCCAGGCGGCAGCACGGACUCUUCUUCCCUGAGCAGGGGAAGAUCCUCACGCUACCUGUGCUCAGGGCGAACAGCGGCGGGCUCAUCGUCAAGUUCAACUCCCUGCAGGGGUUCGUGCCCAACCCUCUCCUCAGCCCCGCGCACUGGUGCAGAGACCCAAAAAGGCCCAUCCAAGAUGUUAGCAAGGACCUAGUAGCAACGUCCAUUUCUGUCAAGGUAAUUAAGUUUUCUUUGAUUGUUCCAUGGCACCAUCAAUUUGCUGUUGGGUGUGGCUAUUUUUGUUGUAACCUAUUAGGAGGAAAAUGAAGGUUAGGUUUCUUGCGCGAGCUGGGAGGCAGGUUAGGUUUCUUCUGAUACUGCACUUGAUUUCUUUUAUUUUCUUUUCUUUUCUUUUCUGAGGAUUUCAUUAUGCUAGCAUUUGGCCUGUUGGCUGGCUCAGUGCCAAUGCCAACUAGAUAGAAGUACAAGAAUUGUGAUUCCUUCCUAUUACUUGGCAGGUCCAGGAAGUGUAUUUGACAUCUUCCCUAGACCAGGAGGGCAUAAAGAAGGCUGUGCAAAGAGUGCUAGGGCGUGUUCCUUGAGUCUGACACACAGCAAGUAAGUAGAAACAAAGGGUGCUGCUGAUGAUAACUUCUUUGCAAGCGUUCAGUCUAUUGCAGUGUGCCUCUGGUGAUUUAAAAGGUUAAAGAACUGGCAGUUAGAAUAGAAGAGAAGCCUCACAGAGAAAAAAUCAUUGCUAGCCAAAUGUGCUGCCACAACACUCAUCAAAACUGAUGUGGUGAUGAAAAAGAAUUCUUUGCUUCCUUAAUUGCUGCUGCUGGUUCAUACUCCUGAUGAAACCUAUCUUUUGUUGUCUCUGCUCUAUUUUGUUUGUCUUUUUUCCUGUAAUGUUAGGCUGCUAGUUUUGAUACAUGGAAAAAACCUUUAUGUGAUCCAUUAUUCUGAUGUCAUGAUGUUGGGGUGCAAACAUUAUUGAUAUGACAUUAUAAUUUUGGAUGUAAUUGCUUAUUGUGACUUUUGUGCUGGAACUUUUGUUUUGUUAAA